AGUUAAUGAACUUGAAUAAGUGUAUAUUUUGAAAAUAUAAAAUAGAGUAAAUCCUCUAUUAACUU
rnacentral:tRNA from 1 species